CCUGAUUCUACACUGCCUGGCAGCGUUCAGCUGAGAUAUUCCAGCUUCCUUCUGAUCCUUCUGGGAAAGGUUAGAGGAGGUCCAGGUUCCUCACGGACGCGUAUGGUGUCUUCUUGUACCUCGGAGCUGAGCGUGGGCGUGGAGUUGCACACCCAGACAGCCCUUUGUUCCACAGGCCACCGAGCAGAUGGAGACCAGUUUUGGCCCCAAGGUCAGGAUGCCCAGGAGUUUCAUGCGUACCCAAGGACAAAGGCUGGCAAGCGAUGAAAGGACUCCGGCACUCGUUUACUGCUCUGGCGUCCACACACGUUACGUUGUCCAGCUGCGCCAUAGGAAAGAUGCCCGUGUAAGGAUGGAGUCAGAGAUGCUGGCAGGGAAGAAGCUGCAUUCCCUUUGCCAAAGAACACCCUGCCCUCCGCAUCCCAUCGGCUGUGGCCUCGGCAGAGGGAGCUCGUCCUCAGCUCUUUGGUGAUCCUUAAAUCCCAUCAGGGCUGACAGGGAGAAUUUGAAAGGAUAUCGUCAAAUUUUGCUGUCGUUGCCAUUUAGUCUUUAUAGCUGGUGCCGGCAUUCCCAGUUUCCGGCAAUUCCCCAGCAGCCUGAAGACUUAAUGUCUUCCUUGGCUGACUGUGGUAGGGAUUGAUUAAUCUGGGUUGGGGCUUUCCACGAGGGUCUGGCUGUGGCAUUUCUGCCUUGGCAACAGAAAUGAUCAUUUGUGCUCUGUGUGCUACUUUCAGCCCGCUGGCUGGAAAUCCUCUGCGUACCUGCAAGCUGUUGGAAAGAGUUUUAAUUUGGGGCUGGCUUUUUCUUUUAAAAAUUAGAGGUGCUGCAGGCAGCGAAAAGCAUUAAAGAUUAAUUUUCACAAGCACACAUGAAAUUCGAAGCAGCUGGUGUCUGAAGUGCCUCUCCAUGCAAGACAUUUCUGCUGUAUUUUCCAUGAACUCUGCGGCAUGAAGCAGUGUGUGUAAUACUUCCCGAUCAGUGACGAUGAAAUGCUGGGCUCUGUCUUGCUCCGGGCUAGCAGCAGCAUCUGUGGGCAUGGCUGAGGAUGUGGGAGACCGGGGUGAUGGGCAGCCAUGCCCCUAGUUUGCAAUGCAGUGCUAAAGCAGCAAGGCAGCAUUUUCCGUAGUGGAACUUUCAGCACUUUACAGAAGGUUAAAUGUCAGCUCUGCCUUUUACAUUUGGGGAAACCAGGUCACGGAGCAGGAGGGGGAUGUUGCCCCAAGGUCAUCUGGCAUCCAAGGGACACCGUUCAGGGCCGGGUCAGUGCUCUGGCCAUUAGCUGCUUCUGAUACAGAAAGGGCAUCCUCUGUGGCACUGCGGAUGCCUCGGGGGCUAUUUGGGCAGAGACAGUUCUUUCCUGGUUGUCUCAGAGACUUCUGCUGUGGCUAAGAGCUCCUGGGAGCUGCUGGUGGGUACUGGUGGCCCCCUGGGGACAGUGUGGAGGGGAGGGUACAGCAGCCUGUGCCGCUCAUGCCAUGCUGCUUGGCUAGCAGAGACAAAUCAUCCUACAGAUUUGGCAGGGCUGUCAGCAAGGCAAGCCCUGCUCAAAGGAUACUGCUACAGAGGUUAUUUGAACUACCUGGGGAUUUUUAAAUUUUAUUUUUGCCUUUUUUUUGGUUUUUUUUUUUCCUAAGCCCUAAACUAUGUGGAACUCAGACUAAACAGAAAAUACAGCUAAGAAAACAUCUUGGUAUAAUGCUGGGAGUCAGACUGUUGCAGCAUGCUUCUGAAAUCCAAUUGUGGUUGUAAGGUGAUCCCAGAAACCGAAGGAUUAAAACUGUAAGGCAGCUCACAAAUACCAGACCAUUAAGGAAGGCAUCUUGGUUACGGAGGCCCAAAUGAUUUUCAGGGUCCAUUUGGGGACAAGGUGGCACCAGGCGUUUAGCACCUCAGUACGCAGUGAUGUGUGAGCGGUGAGCGAUGUGCACUGGAUCCAGCCCAGCAUAUUGGAAGCAUAGGUACCAGGUGCUGAACUGGGAAUUUCUCUCCUGUAAGACAUUGUGGGCUGUCCCCCCUCAAAAUGAAGACAAUCUUUUCCACUCUAAUGCUCUAAUUGUGUGUGUAUGUGUAAAAUUAUAGAUUAUUACAGAUUAUAUAUAUAUCUACACAGAUCUAUCAAUAAUAUUAUAUAUCUAUAUCUGGAUAUCUAAUAUAAUCUCUAAAUAUUCUAUAUCUAUCUUAAAUUACAGCAACCACUCUGAUAACUUACUGGUUUGCCUCCUUUAGGCUGUAUCUGUUGUUCUGCUUUACCUUGCUAGCUAAAUCUCAUUCCUUUCUUCCCCUGGUAACCUUCAGUGAGCAUCCCUUUACAUGUUCAAUAUGUUUAACUGAUAGUUCCCUCUUGGUGCUAAUAAUCCACUAGGCAAAUUAUCAGAUUAAGAGGGGGAAACAGUGACACACCCUGCGCUGUGUCCCGCAGAGGACUUCCACUUCUGUCUAGAAAGAAGCUGACGGAGGCACAUCUGCCAGUGCAGCACCUUUGACUUGAAUGACUUCUCCAUGCUAAAUGCAAACGCGAUUAAUCAAUUCUUUAUCAUCAUUCAUAAAAGACAAGUGUCACUGUUAAGUCUGGGGUUUGCGUACUUCUGCUUCUGGUACUUCUGCCUUUGGAGUUUUCUCCAUUUCUGGGUUGUUGUGGGGAUUCCAGCUGAAAUCAGAUGUGCAGAAGUAAGCAAAUAAAAAAUGUUAAUUAAAUCCUUUUCACUGCCUAGAAUUGAGCAUAUCCUGACGUGUAUGGAAGACCGGACACGAUAAAGAUGGGGUCAUAAGCAUAGGGCAAGGAAUGUGAUCUUCUUGAGGAUAUCCACCAGCCAAUAUGCCCCGUUGCUGGAUUUACUUUACACCUCCAAAUUCAGCUGCUAAUUCCACCCCACAACUCCAGGACAGAUGAUCUUAUUAAGCAUUGGUUUACAUUAUAAUAUUUUUGCCCUGCAACACUGUUAGUAUUGAGUGCUAGAAUUCCCUGGUUUUGUAGAGCUGGGUCUUAGGACAAAAGUCCUGAUUACAUUGACGAUAAUGGCAGAACUCCCCCAGGCUCCCCAGGACACCUCCCCACAGUGUCAUCUUUCUCCAAAGGGAUGAGCACUCAGCGUAAAAUGACCUGGAGCUGGAAGUCCUUGACAUCUUCAAAAAAGAAGUUCAGGGUGUCCUGAACAAGAAACCCAAUAAACUAGCACCUAAAAGUAGAGGAUGCUUUUCACCCUUCAGAUAUUUUAUAUCUCUGGUUCCAGCUUGACAGACACAAGCCUGGGAAAUCAUGGAAUCCUGCCUCUGCCUGGCUGAAAGGCGAAUUCUAUUUAUAUUUUGUAACAGGAAAAUGAAUCAGAGAGAUGCUGACUGUUUGGCUUCUUAAACUGGUCUUCAGUUCCACAGGUCAUGAAACAUUAUGGGAUUACAGGGCAAGAAAUUGUUUGAUGGAGCUAAACGUAUCGCACUAGCUUAGCCUGGGGAUUCAGCCUGGACAGCUGAUCCGUUUGUCCCCUGUCAUUUUGGGUGAGGAAAGGUGGCUUUUUGCUUUGCAAAGCCUCUGUCAUUCCUUUUGGUCCCUCCACCAUGAUGAGCAGCUGCAAACUCAGCUUCUUCAUGUGGAUCUCUCAAACUUGCAGAAGAUGAUGCUGCAGAGUCAAACUGCGAAUGUGGUCCGAGUUACUAUUUGACAGGGGAGGACUGCUCUCAACCUGCCUAGCACAGGCAAAAAGUUUGUGUAAGUUUUGACUCUGCUGGGAGACAGGCCCUGGUUCGCAAGAUGUUUUCCAGACCCGGUUAAACUGCUUUCCAAAGGCACGGUGCGUUUCUGCAAGACAACAGCCUUCGCUGUAAUAGGCUGGACCAAAUUGCUGAUGAUUUGAAAUCAGUUUGCUACGGAUGGUUUUAAAGCUGGCGUUCAGUUCAUUUCCAGGCAGCUGCACAUUGUUGUAAUUUGCUAACGGUGUCACAAAUGCUACUUUUUCCUUGCCUUGUCACAGCUCCUCUGAAUUACUCCUUUAAUUUCUGCGCAAGUCUUCUCUCUUGCAGCCUCUGCCACCUCAAAGAGCAGCAAGAGCACCUCCCCUUUGCAAUUUUCCUUUCCCUCUUAACCUUGACCUGUAAUAUGCUGAAAGUUGUUACUGAAAACUACCUUGAUCAGGAAUGACAUUAUAAAAACUCGCUCAGCCAGAUGCAGCAAAAAAUCCAGCCACGAUAAAGAUUCCCAGAGCCAACAAUUUUGAGUUACGGACCUACCCUGUCUUGGAACAUGGAGUCAACUGCUUCAAGGUAGUAGCUAUUAAGUUUUGUUUGCUUUCUUUCAGAGUGACUGGGCUUUGUGAAAAGGAGGCUUGGCUGAGCAUUGCUGUGCCUAAAAAUACUGAGCAGAGAGAUGCUUUCUGAGCUGGGCUGUGAAAGCAGCGCUGCAGGGCUAGACUCUGCCAAAGGCGCGUUUGCAGGGACGACUGCUGAGGUUUGGGGACUUAAAUUCUGCUUUGCAGCCAUGCACCUGAGAGGAGAAGCCUAGCCCAGAGCCCUCAGGACCUUCAGAGUUGGGGGUUUGUGGUCUGAACUCAGUUCACACCUAAAUCCAUCGCUGAUGUGAAGCCAGAUCCUAACAGCAUGGCUUUGUGGAGCGAGACUGCAAAGGGAAGCUGGACGCACGGCUGAACAUCAGCUCCUGCCAUGCAAAGGUUGUGCACGAUCUGGACACCACAAUUCGGGAAAGGUCUUUAGAAGUGGGUUGGUUUUUUUUUGUGGGGGUGUUUUGUUUUGUUUUGUUGUUGUUGUUUCCCUUAAAAUCUUUAUUGUCUCUGGGAAUGCUCUGCUUAAGACUUUUCCAGACUGGGCGGCAAAUUCACAGACCCCAUUAGCGGGAGAUCCUUGACCCAGAAGGUUACGAUGAACAUCUGAUGAUUUGAAUCAUCAAACCCAGCCAAAGAGCAUUUGUGUAUAUUGAAUUUUAUAAGAGUUAACUUUUGGAAGGACUGGAGCCUGGACAUGGAAACAGCUUUAAUGGGUUCUGCUUGAGGCUUUUAUUUACUGCAAACUCGGGCGGAGAAAACAAGGUCCAGUUCCUGCUGCAGCCAAUGGAAACCAUCUAUUUAUUGCAGUGGAUAGAGACUCUAACCCUUCGCUCGUGUUCAACCUGAACUCCUCCAGCCUGCAUGCGUUGGCAGUGAAUGAACUGCUCUCAGUUUCUGGUCUUCGAGCUCUGGAAUUCUUUUCGAUCCUGGAGAUAAGAAAAAAGUCUUCUAAACAGAUGCGUCAUGCCUGCUUAAUUUUCCAUUAAAAACAGAGAAGAUAUUUAACUCUCUCCUAUCGGGGUGUGUGUGUGAAAAAGCCAUGCUUUCUUGGCGCCAAAAUCCAUCUAUUAGUGGAGAUACUGUGAAGACCUUGGAGUAUCCAUCCCUGUAAACAUCAUUAGUUGUGGAAAAGCCAUUCAUUAGUAACAGGCAAUAUGUUCUUCUAUCCUUUCCUCUGAAGAAUAGGCAGUGCUAUCUAAAUAAGCUGUUUCCUGAGAAGUUACUCAAAGUUACUGCUGUAGCUGUAGGCCAACUCUCCUCCCCCAGGAGCCAGACAGAAACAAAGCUCUCAGAGAGAAAAGAGCUGCCCUUUAGUCCAGCAGACUGUGCCAUUCCUCUGAAGUUCUUCCUUUCUCCUCAGCCUCCUGGUUAAUGUGCUCCCUGCUUGCUUUCUCAACUCCUGUCAUCUGCAAAACCAGCCAUUUCCAUGCCUACAUGCGAGCUGAAGGCACCGGUGCCCUGACACUCCUCUGUGCUCUUUUUUUUUUGUCCAAAAGCAGCUGCAAAAAUCCUCCCUGACAUCCCAUCCGAGCCUCUUCAGAUUCCCCUCGCUGGCUUCCCAUGACCUUCUGCAAUAAUUCUGCAUUCCUUGUCCUCCUCCUUCAGCAUCCUCCGGAGUAUCCCUGGCUUCCCCAGCCAAGAAACCACGACCAGGCAUCUUCUCACAGGCUUUGUCCUGGACCACCCUGGCAGCAAGGACCUGGCACUGAGGGGCAAAACGGGGAACAGCCUCUCCAAAUGCCUGUGUGACAGCAGUGCUGUGGAAAAAUCCUUGCUGUUCACUUCUUGGCGAGGAAGGACAUGUUUGUGGAACACUGUCUGCAGUCGGCUGGUGGAUACCUGCUCUGAUGGUGCUGGAGGGCGCACUUGGAGGAAGGCGUCUAUGUUUCUUUCAGUUGUGCCCUCUGCUAUGUGUUACCAGCACUUAAUUACACCUUAUACAUUAGAAACGCUCCCUUGCCCUCAACAGUCCACUUCCAGAGGUGUUUUGGACAACACGUCAAAGCAGGAAAGACUCUCAGAGGAGAGGGCAGAUGUAAGGACGCUGAUGGGUCUUUCUGUGCUGUCUUUCAGGCCAGACUUGUAGCCAGGAUAUUAAUUUCUUAAAGUUGUUAAUUACCUCUAUUAAAAAAAAAAAAAAAAAAAAAAAAAAAAAAGCCUGCUGGCCUCUGGGUGAUCAUAUUCCAAUGGGAGUGAGUUGUAACUUUCCCUAAACGCCACCUAUGAUCCCACCUGGCUAUCACAGAAUCUCCUUCCUUCCCCUCCAUUUGCUGUCAGAGCUCCAGCAGCUUUCUACCGAGAGCUUUGGGCUGUCAGAGUGGCAUUCGCCACUUUUGCUAGUUAAAUAUUUCCAAUGUGGUCAGGUUUUCUAGAAAUGCAGAAAAAUUGUAGAAAAAUGUAGAGUGCUUAUUGGAUUCUCACCGGAUAGGAGGUGAUAGGGAAUAAUUAGGCUUGGGUGCAACGUAUAUUUUCUAGCACCUAUUCAGCAUUUGCUAUAAGGUAUCAAAUGGAUCCAAGAUACAAGUCCAAGCAGAAAAGGAGUAAAAUGUAUUAGGCACAGCCCUGGACCACCAGGCAAAGAGGAUUUAGUGUGUAUAAUAAACUGCCUGUGUAUCAUUUAUCAUGGCUCCACAGUGAUUGCCUGGGGGUGGUGAUGGACACUGUAAGUUGCAAAAAUAUAAUGACGUGUCGUGUAACAGACCGCAGGUGUCCGUGUGGGGAGCCGGGAGGAAAUCAACCUGACAGGCUUAAGAAAGUGGCUUGUGCUGGCAUCCGCAGGGACCCCCGGGUGCCCAGGCGCGUCCCCCGCCUGCUGCAUCACUCUCCCAGUUUCCUGGCGGGAGGGCUCUGCUGAAAGGCUUCUUUUUCCCUUCCCCGUCCAGAUGAUCCCACCUCGUCAGGCAGCCUCUGUUUUCCUUUGGCAAGGGGAACAGCUGGGGCAGAUCUCUCCUGCUCCAGGGGGAGUGGGCUGCGGCCGAGACCCCCUGCCCUCCCCUGCACCUUGCUCCUGGGUGGGAGAAAGCAAAAAAGCUUGCAAGAAGCUUUGCAUUUCCCCCAAAAGCUCCAUCACCUUGGGGGUCACGCACAUCCCCAAGGGGGCAGCCCCUUCCAGGGAACUCAAGGGAUGAGCAUUUCAGCAGAGCCCCCAUUCCAUGGCUCCUCAGUCCAUCCAUAAGCAUCUCCGUUAUUGGAGAGCCCCCGACCUCCCCUGACAGGUUUCUCCAUUGUCUGCCUGACCUCACCAUUAUAAAGCAUUUCCUACUAUUUAGCCCAAUGUUUUUCUUUCUUAAUUUUAGGCCAUUAGUGCUUGUUCUUCCCAAAAUUUACUACUGAAAAUUACUCUGCCUCCUCCCUUCCUCUCACUUGACGGAUGGCUACAGAGUGACCCUCCAGGAUUUAUAUCUCCAGUGGUGAGGCAGGACUCUUCUCCUAUCUUAAUCCCUCAAGGCCAUAGAAAAAUAAAGUCAUCGUCUUUAAAUCUGAAUCUGUUACAACCUCUGUUGCAAAGCAGCGACGUUCUCCACCUUGCUGAAGUUCAGCUGUAUUUGCUUUCACAGCUCCAUCCCAGAAAGUCCAGGAAUGACUUUCAAAGAUGCUUCGUUUUUCACCAGGGAUUUUAGAAACUUGUUACAGUGCCUCAUGGUACACUAGCUAGAGUUAUAUUUACCUUCUUUAUUUUAUUUUUCAUUUUUUUGCUAUGCAUGUAAUCCAAAGGCCAUUCACUUCCCAGUCAGAGGGGAAAAGUUUCUCUUUCCCCUCUUUAAUUUAGACCUAUAUGAAUAAUUCCCUUUGAGGUUUGCUGCUUGAACAAAAAAAAAGUGAAAGAAAGCAAGCAAAUAGUUUGGUGAUCAAACACCUAUUGUGUUGGGUUUGUUAGCUUUUUGGAUUAUUAAGAAUUUUAACUCUCUUUGAC